UUAAAAAAAUUAUUUCUACCCAACUCCCUAUUUAAAUUAUUUCCAACAAAAUUAUUUCAACUUCACUCAGUAAUCAAAUUAUUUCCAACAAAUAAUAUUCAAAUUAUUCAAAAAAAAAAAAGAAAUUAGUAUUUCUAAAAUAAAACCAAAAGCUUCGUCUAUUUAUACUGCCACCACAACUGACACUACCGAAACCACCGAAGCCAAUGCCAGACUAAACAGGUUCUAUAUGUUAGGCUCCCUCUCUCAUUUUUUUCAUACUCAAAGAUUAUUUUAAUUUUUCGUUGAACUUAUCAUAUUUGAAUUAUUUAUAGUAUGGAAGUUGUAGCUUUGGAUAACAUAUUGAAAACUUUACAAUUGUUGGCAACAUCCUACGAUGAGUUGAAAGAAAGUGUCCGCACAAUACGAUCUGAUAUGCGUACCCUAUCUAAGGAGGGAAAAAGGCGAGAUGAGGAUCGAAAACAAUUUUAAUCAAAAAUUUUAAAAUUUUAUCUUGGGAGUUUGGAUGAGGGUUCAAAUGAGCUAGAUAAGAAGAAGAGCAGAGGAUUUAGAGUUAAAAAUGAAUUUGGUAUACUCAUUAAUGAAAAUGUAAAGAAACAAGAUUAUUUCAAUCAACAAUAUGUUGGUGAGAAGUCAACUACUGAGGCUGUUGAAUCGAAUUUACCAACACCUUCACCUGCAGUUGAUUUUUUUAAAAAGUGUCAAUGGUAAGACUUCCACAAGUGUAUGGGGUCCUACAUUGAAGAGUGGUUGUGUGCGUGGAAAACGAUUAACCUUUGAUGAUGUAGUGUUUCAAAAGACCACUUAGUUUGGUCAAACUUUUCUUGAACGUGAGAUGGGAAAUACAAAGUCAUCAACACGCAAGAUUAAGCGUUCAGUGAAGUCUGCUAGUAAUGAGAAGUCCGGUGAUAGUGUUGGAGUGUUGGAGCAGUUGAAAUGAUCACUUCUACUAAGAAUUCAGGAGAUAAGGUGAACAUAUUUAUAUUUAUUUUUUUAUUUGAAAAAUUAUAAAAUCUUAUGUUUUUUUUUUCAAAUGUUAGGAGAAGAGAAAAUGUCUGAUGAAGUCUGAUUUGGCAGCAGAGUUGAAAAGGGUUGCGUUUGAUGUGCAAGAGUUUGAUUGUUUUAAAAUUUCUAUCCCACAUUUUGGUUCCAGUUAUGGGCCAAUAUUAGAGUACAUUUUUGAUAAAAUUUAGAUUCAGAGUAUGUUAUAAUUUUAAUUUAUCUUUUAAAAUUUUAUUAUUUGUUAAAUUUUGGCUAAACUCAAAAUUAUGAUUUUGGGGUGCACUAUUUAUUUAUUAUUGCUUACCUUCAUUGACAGCUUGUGAUUUUGAAGUGAACCCAUUGUAGACACGGACUUUCACUAUCUUAAUCGACGAUUAUUGUCAAUAUUAGCUCUUGAAGUUAUGCUAUCUGGCGAGGUAGAUGUUGUAACUAAAUCUGUUCUAACUGAUUUGGGUUCUUAUAUGACAAACACUUCUACAAUAAUAAUUUUUUUUUCUUUAAUUUAUAAAUUUUGAAUGUCGUUUGGGACAUGCUAACACGUGCUGAAAGAUUGGGAUCGAAAGGAGGGCGGAAGUGGUGGUUUUUGAAUACAUGGAUGAGUGUAAGUUUAUUUAUGAAUGUUAUAUUUAAUUUCAUUAUUGUCUGAAUUAAUUUGAGUUCAUUAAUAUAGGUGUCCUUUAUCUUGUUUGGGUGUUUAGUGUUCAAUUAGUGUUGAUAACCUAUUUCCAAGUACUGUUAAAGGGAAUCGUGAUGGAGGAAAAGAGUCUGCACAACAAUUCUAUAUUGGAGAUCUUGCUAUUUGUAAGGAGGUGAGAUUAUUAUAAUAUGAAAGUUCUUUUUCGUGAGGAAUGUAUAUUUAGCGUUAUGAUUCAUUUGGAUAUGUUGCAGAUAUUAAUACCAAGGCACAAGGAUAUGCAUUUUUUUUUUCUUUUUAACGUCUCUGUGGAGCAUGAGGAGGUUGAGAUUUGGGAUUCUUUACUUAACAAUGGUAAAUCUAGUGGGGAGGACAUGGUGAAACCUGUGAUGGCGAAAUUAGACUCAUUGUUGGCUACUGAUAUUGCAACUUUGAAGUUGUUCUCAGAGAAAACGUCCCAAAGCAAAUGACUUAAUUUUUCAUUUACCAGGUUCAAUGUCAAGACAAUCACUAUACCUCGACAAACUAAUUCUUAUGAUUGUGGAAUAUUUGUCAUUAAGUGGUUGGAGCAUCGUAGUGUUGUUGAUUCCAAGUUUCAUUCACACAAUGAGAGGGCACGUAUUGCAGUGAAAAUAGUUACAUCUGAAAUGAACAAAUUAAAAGAUAAAGUGAACUUCGCUUCCUUGAGAGAUCGCAAGCCCUUCACUCAGUGUGCCAACAGCUAAAGACAAAUUCAUCCAUGAGAUGCCAGCAAAAUUUAGUUUAUCACUUUGACAAGGGAUUUUAGUUUGGAUAUAUUUUUUCAUUUACGUUGUGAUUUUAACUCAUCAACAUCAUCAUCAUCCUAAGAAUUUGUUUCAUUUUUGAGUUUCAAGUAUUCAAGUUGGAGAUGAUGAUGAAGUUUAUCCAAAGGUUUGGUUUUGUUUUAAAUUUUAUAAGUGUUGAUGUUUUUCAUUAUAGUAGUAAAUGUAUAGUGUUCUUUGUUUUAGCACUUGAAAAUAUUAGACAUGGAUUUGAAUUAACACUGAUUUUGUCUUUAUUUUUUAAUCUCUUUUUGGUUUAUUGUAAUAUAUUGAUUUACUAGAAGAUCAGUGGUUCCCCAUAUCAGAGUAGUAGUUCCCAAUUCUUGGUAGUGGCUUCACCACCUUAUUGUUGCUACUGUGAUUUUGCAAUAGUUAUUUUUUUUAUCUCUUUUUGGUUUACUAUAAUAUAUUGAUUUUGUUUGUAAAUACAGUUGUCUACCUCAGCUACAAUUGAGUUGAGCAUUUCAUAUUUGAGCUUCCCUCAUUUUAUCAUCUCUUUGUUUUUCAGGUUGGGGUAAUAGAAAAUAAAAAUAGGUUUUAAACUAUUGGAAUGUGAAAGACUUCAACUAUUGAAUCCCCUCAUGUCUAACAAAUACUGUUUGUCUUGCUGCAGCAAAACGUUAAUAAAACUUAAGCAAAAAUCUCAAGUUAGCAAGAACUCCAUUAAAGUGCAUAAAACUCUUCCAAAUUCUAUGCUAUCAAAUCUAUAA